GGAGUCUAUUUUGACAUAUUAUACAUACAUGGAGUGUAACUUAUUCUAAUUAGGAUCCUAUUACUGUGGUUGUACAUGAUGUGGAGUUACACUGGUUGUGUAUUCAUAUAUAAGAAUAGGAAAAUUAUGUAUAAUUCAUUCUAUUGUCUUUCUUGUUCCAAUUUCUCCUUCCUUCCCUUCGUUCCCCUUUAUUUAAUCUAGUGAACUUUUAUUCUCCUCCCACCCCUUUUACUUUGUGUUAGCAUCCAGAUAUCAGAACAUUUAGCCUUUGUUUUUUAUGGAAUGGCUUAUUUCACUUAGCUUUAUAGUCUCCAGUUCUAUCCAUUUACCACCAUAUGCCAUAAUCCCAUUCUUCUUUAUUGCUGAGUAAUAUUCCAUUGUGUAUAUAUAUGUCCCACAUUUUCUUUAUCUAUUCAUCUGUUGAAGGGUACUAGGUUGGUUACAUAGCUUUGCUAUUGUGAAUUGAGCUCUAUACCGUUGAUGUGGCUGCAUCACUGUAGAAUGCUGAUUUUAAGUCCUUUGGAUGUAAACUGGAAGAAUGGGAUAGCUGGGUCAAAUGGUGGUUUCACUUCAAGUUUUCUGAGGAAUUUUCAUACUGCUUUCUAUAGUGGUUUUACAAUUUGCAGUCCCACCAGCAAUGUAUGAGUGAACCUUUUCUCUAACAUCCUCGCCAACAUUUACUGUUACUUGUAUCUUGAUAAUUGCCCUUCUGACUGUAGUGAGAUGGAAUCUUGGUGUAGUUUUAAUUUGAAUUUCUUUAACUGCUGGAGAUGUUGAACAUUUUUUUUUAUAUAUUUGUUGACCAUUCAUGUUUGUUCUUCUGUGAAGUGACUGUUCAGUUCCUUUGCCCA
rnacentral:lncRNA from 1 species